rnacentral:rRNA from 1 species
UACGUAGGGUGCAAGCGUUGUCCGGAAUUAUUGGGCGUAAAGGGCUCGUAGGUGGCCAACUAAGUCGGACGUGAAAUCCCUCGGCUUAACCGGGGAACUGCAUCCGAUACUGGAUGGCUUGAGUUCGGGAGAGGGAUGCGGAAUUCCAGGUGUAGCGGUGAAAUGCGUAGAUAUCGGGAAGAACACCCGUGGCGAAGGCGGCUCUCUGGGACGGUACUGACGCUGAGACGCGAAAGCGUGGGGAGCGAACAGG